GUUCUGACGGUACUUGAGGAAUAAGCAUCGGCUAACUCUGUGCCAGCAGCCGCGGUAAUACAGAGGAUGCAAGCGUUAUCCGGAAUCACUGGGCAUAAAGCGUCUGUAGGUUGCUUAUCAAGUCUGCUGUUAAAGACCAGGGCCUAACCCUGGGAAAGCAGUGGAAACUAGUAGGCUUGAGUGUGGUAGAGGUAGAGGGAAUUCCUGGUGUAGCGGUGAAAUGCGUAGAUAUUAGGAAGAACACCAAUGGCGAAAGCACUCUACUGGGCCAUAACUGACACUGAGAGACGACAGCUAGGGGAGCAAAUGGGAUUAGAUACCCCAGUAGUCCUAGCCGUAAACGAUGGAUACUAGGUGUUGCACGUAUUAACCCGUGCAGUAUCGUAGCU
rnacentral:rRNA from 1 species